GAUGAACGCUGGCGGCGUGCCUAAUACAUGCAAGUCGAGCGAACAGACGAGGAGCUUGCUUCUCUGACGUUAGCGGCGGACGGGUGAGUAACACGUGGAUAACCUACCUAUAAGACUGGGAUAACUUCGGGAAACCGGAGCUAAUACCGGAUAAUAUAUUGAACCGCAUGGUUCAAUAGUGAAAGACGGUCUUGCUGUCACUUAUAGAUGGAUCCGCGCUGCAUUAGCUAGUUGGUAAGGUAACGGCUUACCAAGGCGACGAUGCGUAGCCGACCUGAGAGGGUGAUCGGCCACACUGGAACUGAGACACGGUCCAGACUCCUACGGGAGGCAGCAGUAGGGAAUCUUCCGCAAUGGGCGAAAGCCUGACGGAGCAACGCCGCGUGAGUGAUGAAGGUCUUCGGAUCGUAAAACUCUGUUAUUAGGGAAGAACAAAUGUGUAAGUAACUAUGCACGUCUUGACGGUACCUAAUCAGAAAGCCACGGCUAACUACGUG
rnacentral:rRNA from 1 species